CCGCGGGAUUAGAGUUUGAUCCUGGCUCAGGAUGAACGCUAGCGGCAGGCUUAAUACAUGCAAGUCGUGGGGCAGCACAGGUAGCAAUACUGGGUGGCGACCGGCAAACGGGUGCGGAACACGUACGCAACCUUCCUUUAAGUGGGGGAUAGCCCAGGGAAACUUGGAUUAAUACCCCUUAACAUUAUGAGAUGGCAUCAUUUUAUAAUUAAAGCUCCGGCGCUUAAAGAUGGGCGUGCGCCUGAUUAGGUAGUUGGCGGGGUAACAGCCCACCAAGCCUACGAUCAGUAACUGGUGUGAGAGCACGACCAGUCACACGGGCACUGAGACACGGGCCCGACUCCUACGGGAGGCAGCAGUAAGGAAUAUUGGUCAAUGGACGCAAGUCUGAACCAGCCAUGCCGCGUGGAGGAUGACGGCCCUCUGGGUUGUAAACUCCUUUUAUCUGGGAAGAAAUGCAGAUAUUCUUAUCUGUUUGACGGUACCAGAGGAAUAAGCACCGGCUAACUCCGUGCCAGCAGCCGCGGUAAUACGGAGGGUGCAAGCGUUAUCCGGAUUCACUGGGUUUAAAGGGUGCGUAGGUGGAGUGGUAAGUCAGUGGUGAAAUCUCCAAGCUUAACUUGGAAACUGCCGUUGAUACUAUCAUUCUUGAAUAUCGUGGAGGUAAGCGGAAUAUGUCAUGUAGCGGUGAAAUGCUUAGAUAUGACAUAGAACACCGAUUGCGAAGGCAGCUUGCUACACGAUCAUUGACACUGAGGCACGAAAGCGUGGGGAUCAAACAGGAUUAGAUACCCUGGUAGUCCACGCCCUAAACGAUGAUUACUCGACAUCAGCGAUACACUGUUGGUGUCUG
rnacentral:rRNA from 1 species